GAUUUCAUGUGUAACUGUCUUUAUGAAACACUGCUGAGGCCAGGCUUCCAGGACUAGAAAUAUCUUCCAAAUUAAAAGAACAGAUACACAAAGCCACAUAAAAAGUUGUAAACAACUGAAAACUGUCAGCAGUGGACCAUCUGUAUGUGCAGCAUCAGAUAAGUUUGAGAUUGGUGACCUGCCACUUCCUCCUUCAGUCAGGAUAUGACUUCAACAUCUCCACGGGUAAAGUUUUUUUGGAUUCUAUGAUUACUGAAAUAUUUGGCAAAUGGACCAGAAUGAUCCUACAAGUUAAAAGGUCAAACAUAGACAGAACAGGAAGAGUGCCAGUAUUGAGCUCACCUAACUACCAAUCAUGAAUAAACCACCAAGCCACAUGUUGCUUAAGACAUGUUCUGAAACAAGGAAAUUGCAAAAGCCCAAAGACAUAGUGCUCUUAACACAUUACUUUAACAGCCCUAUUAGCCAGGCAAGAAGAAACAAGGUUGGGACUGUGUGGCAUUCAUAUCCACUACUCUUUCUGCGUCAUAAAAGCUGAGUAAAAUCUUAAAGAUAUUGCACGCAAAUGGUGGAGAUUGAGAUAUGUUUUAUAGAAAGGUAAAGUGAGCCAGCAAAAAAGGGCUCAGCGACACAACAUACAGAAGAGAAGUUCACU